UCUCCCUUCACUCCUUCUCUCGCUCUCUCUCUAUGGAUCUCCCCAUCCCUUUUCCUUCUUUCUUUUUGCUUUCUGUUUUACUCUCAUUUUUUCUUUUCCUUUCUCAUUUUUCGUCAUUCGCUUUUGCUCACAUUUUUAUCUUAUUUAUUGCCUUUUGCCUUCUCUUUCAGGUUCUCUUUCACGUUCCCUUCUUCUCCUGCACUUCACUUUCACUUUCUCCAACUUACUUUCCUCUGGGGUGCUCAGCCUGCCCUUCCAGAGCCUGGCGUCUUCCUCACUUCCCCAGGUCUUUCUGCAUAUCCUUCAGGGGAGGUUUUGGUUCCUGUAAAUGCUACACGUCGAUGAGCAUAUAUAUAUAUAUAUUUUAAUCUCUUUUCCCACUUCUUUUUCUUCCCCCUUCCCUGGCCCGUGCCUCCGUCCUCUUUCCCUUUCUCCCUUCUCCCUGGGUAUCCUUCUCUUCCCCGUCCCCCUUUCCUUCCAGCUGCACGAACAUCUCAAUUGUACCAUGUUGGCAGAUCCUUGCUGGCCUGACAUUUUAUCCUAGCUGAGCCCAUUUGACAUCUCUCUCCUUUCCCCACGGGAGAGCUCUCAGAUGCUCCAGGGGGAGAAAGCUGGAUGCACCGAGGGGCAUGACGGCUGGAAGCCGGAGAUGAGAAAUACUUGGAACACAGCCUGUGAGCCGGGAAAGCAGCUGGAAGCUGAGGAUGGGGACAGAAGUUGCCAGAGGAGCAGUUCUGACCUUGAGGGUGCCAUUCUGCAGCUCUGGCCUCGGAACCUGGAGGCAUUUGGAACCUGUGGGGGAACUGCAGCAAAGAGAAGACCAGCUCCAGGAAAAGAAAAAAAAAAGAAGAAAGAAAGAAACUUCCAGUUGUCAGAAUCAGAAUGCAUAUCAGUUAUGCUGGAGACAAUGAAAACAUCAAAAAGCACAUAUAAGCCAUAAAAAAUUCAGGUCCUCGGAAGCAAUGUGGGACACGCUUGGUUGCGCUCCUCAUUUGCAUGUCAGUACCCACAAUGCUCUGCAAGCUCCCAGAUCUUUCUGAGCAGCCCCAGUGUCUGAGCUCUAGGGAACAAAGUGAAAGGUUGGGGCGUGUGCUUGUGGGUGAGAGAGGGACUUUGGUAUCGGCGGGAAAGGCAAGGCGGGCGUGGGGAGAGAACUGCUCCCACCGUGGUGAUUCGCAGCCAGCCCCUUAGGGCUUAAUCUCAGGCUUGGGAGCCGUACCUUGAGUUUUAUUUUUUGGUUUGUUUUUUGGGGGGUUUUUUGUUUUUGCCUUCCUCUUCUUCCCUUUGCCCAGAUACGCUGUGAUGGUGAAGGCACGCUGUGCAGCCUUUAGAAGCCCUGACUGAUGGGGUUGCUACAGCACUUGCCUGGAAUUGGAGAUUUUUGUGCAGUGUGUGUCUUCGGAUGCUGGCCCUCAUUCCAAGACAUGUUGGCCUCUUCGGCAUUUGGGCUCCCAUGGACAGCCCUCGCUUGGUCAGUGCAGAAACAUAGAGGUGCCACCGUGACCCGCUGCUGGGGACCAACGGGGCACCCUCUGACUUCACUCUUCCCUCCCACGCACGACACUCUUCUCUGCAAACCUUGGUCCCCAGGACCCCCACAGAGCCAUCGUCUGGACAUUGCAAAUUCCAGGGGCAGAUUGGGAAUACAGGCCCCAAACUAAAAGUCGGUAGAGGCAGGGCCAUAAACUUGGCCCCUGACUAGGUGUCCUCCACCUCCUGGGUGGUCUAGGGUGUGUUGCUCGUUCCCCACCAUGUCUCCUUUCCUUCCCAAGCCUGUCCUGUCCUGGGAGGACCUACAGAGCAUCUGUGACUAAGACACCUGUGAUUUUUAAUGUGGCCAACCAUUCUGGGACCUGACAAAAUACGUAAAAAAGAAAAGUGAAGCUCAAUCUUUGAGGCUUCCAUCUGGAAGGUUUUUGUCUGGGCUUGUCCUUUGAUUUUUGAGCAUCACUUUUCUCAGAGCUGCAAAGGAGUUCUUAGGCUAGAUUAACUUAGCGGUAGGAAGAUACGGGCGGAGGAGUGAACGUGGAUACAUGCGGGCUCUCAACCCACCCCCUGACACCUCCAAGCGUCAGAGGUAAGAUAAAAGCCAGCCCCCACCUAGAAUGGAGAAGCUGCUCCGGAAGCUGGACCCAGCAGAAGGGUUGGUCUGCUUCAGCCUGUACACAGUACUAUAAAGUAUGUUCCAACAGUUGCCAACAAUUGAAAAUCGGGAGCUUUUUUAGCUUUUCUUAAAACAUCUGCAGAUCUGACCACCCUAGGCCUCCAUUUCUUCAUAGUCACCAGGAGACAGCGGCUCCUGAGGGUGGUGGAGGCUCUCCUCUCCUGCAGGGCCUGCCUUCUCUGGCCCACCCAAGUCCUCCACCUACGUGUAAUCCAGUCUGGCUUUUGCAGGCCCAGCCUUGGCCAGACUCAUGCUCUGAAUCCCUGAGUUUUCCCACUUUGUUACCAGUCACAUCGGCAUAAGGAUAACCCAGCCCCAGCCCCCGCGCCCCCCACCCAGCUCUGACAGCUUUUCCUAGUGGGCAUCCAGGGGAAGCAGGACCAAGGGCCUUGACUUAUAAACACCCCCGGCUUUUUAUCCCAAUCCCCAAACAUGCUCUGCUUCAGCAAAUGUGUUUUUCACCUGCUACAGCCCCAGGAAUCUGCCCCGGCCUCUGUGUCCUCCUGGCAGGCAUAUUUCCCUUCACUUCUGAUGCCUAACGUAGUCUGAGGUGAGGGGUGGGUUGCAAGGUUUGGAUUUUUCAAAAUUCUUUCCCAGGUUUGUUGUGUCUAAUUUGGGCUGCAAAUGGUUUUUGGUGUCAACGGCUAACCACUGUUUGGUCUGAACAUUCAGCUCUGUUGAAUUUAGAUGGCGGUGAAAGCCCAGUUUCCCCAAAUACAGUCUAAAUACAUUUACACAUUUAUUCCCACAUGUGUCUUUAUGUUUCUGCCUGUCUCACCACACCUCAGACAUAUCCGUGGAUGGGAGCGUCCCGGGAAGAAAAUGGGCAGGUAACUUGACCCUCUACUGUAAACUUCAUGAAAAAAAAAAAAAAUCAGCAAGUGGACCCAAUCAGAUGAUGAGUGAUAAAGAUGCUUCUGAGCAAGGGCAUUCCACUGAGAGCUCGGACUGGAAUUUGGUUGUUUCCUUACAAUCUAAAAGAUAAAUAAUAUCACUAGAGAGAAGAAGGAGAAAUAAAGUAAGGGAGUUGAGAAAAAUAAGUAAAAAGGUACACCCCCCCAAAAAAAGUCUGUGAUUCUUUAUCGACAUCAGAGCCUUAAAUAUGUUUAAUGCUCACCAAGUUACAAGACAGUUAAAAUAACAGGUGAUGCUAGGUGUUAAUAAUACUGAUGGUGACAGUUAACAUUUAUUGAGAGCUCACAAUGCUCUAGGAACAGGGCUGAGGGUUAUUACACACUUACUCCUUUAAUCCUUAUAACAACGCUGUAAGGUCGAUAUAUUAUCCCCAAGGAAACUGACACUUAGCGUGGUUAAGUAAUUUGUCCAAAGUCCCAGAAGUCGAAAGGGAUGGAGCAGGUAUUCAAACUACAUUGCCCUCCAGCAUAACGUGGGCCUGGGCGGCAAGACUGAUGCUCCCCUCACCAGCUGGCUAGAGUAAGGACCUGGCAGAUGGCCUGCCUCUGUCAUGACUGGCUUGGGAGCUGGCACUCGGGUGAGCCCAGGAAGGCUGGAGAGAGACAAAUGGUGUAUUUGGCCCACAAUUCCUUUCCUAAAAAAAGACCCCAGGGAUGUACCACGGGAGACCCACUGGCUGGUCGCUGAUGAAACCCGCCAUCUUUAGAGAUUAUCCCGCUCUAGACACAUUGACAGAAUGGGCCACAGCCUGGCUGAUUUGACGGUUUCCUCACCCUGAAUACAUGUGACCUGUUGGAGGAUGCACGGUGUGCUCAUCGCCUAAGGGUGCCUGUCGGUCUCAAUGAGGUGAUGCCUGAUAUGAGGCCAGGAUGGAGAGGCAGAGCCAGAACAGAGAGCAAGUUCCAUCUUCCUCUGCAUCAUAUCUGAAGAUGGUGAUGAGGAUGGAAUGGGGGUCUGAGCUCCAAAGUGCGUGGCUGGGAAAGAGGCAGGGCAUCAUCAGUGAACCUUGAGUCUGAAGUGGGCAGCCCUUUAUAUGAUGAUUUUCAGAGAUGGGCAGAUGCUUAAGCAGCCUGGUCUGGGCUGAAAACUCAGCUUUCAUGUACCCCUACCCAGAGACCUUGAGCACCUAAGGGGGAGGCAUUGUGCCAAGGAUUAUGGGUGAUAGUAAGAAGAACAAAGGAGGUUCUUUGCCUUCUCUGCUUACAUAAUUCCUCUGUUGCAAGGCAGCUCGAACAAAGAUUCCAAGCUCAGUGGAACAGAGCAACUCAUGCUAAUGGGGAAAAGGGGAAGUGUGUCACAGGGUCAGAGACCAUGCCUACACACCCUUCCAUUCCCCAGCGGGGACUGGGGAGUUGGGCAUUAAGUAAAUGUCUGUUGAUGAACGACUGCUUCAGUCGAUGAUUGAAUUUCUCUAGGGCUCUUGGAAAUGUCUGUGGGAAAGGUAGAAAGGUAAGUUGUACCUGUCAAAAUUAGACUUGCUGCUAGUAACCAACACCCCAGUUAGCAGUUGUGAUAGAAAUUUAAGGUUUAUUUUUCUGUCAUAUAACAUGAAGUGUAGAGGUUGGUAAUCCCAUGGCGGUAUGACAGCUUCAUAGUCAUGAGGGACUCAACCUCUUUUAAUCUUUCUGUUCUUCCAUGUUAAGUUCAUGAAUUCCUCUCCUAAAAUCACCUCAUGGUAACAACAUGGCUGCUGGAACUCCGUUUAUCACAUCCACGUUUCAGGCUGAAGAAAGAGAAAGAGGAGAAGCGCAGCCUUCUCAGAAGCCUCAAUUGACUUCCACUGACAUUUCAUUGGCCACUUAUAGGUGCAACGGAGACUAGGAAACAUGUUCUUUUAUCUGGGCAUAUUUCAAUCUGAGUAAAAUGAUGCUUUUAGUAAAGAAGAAGGGAAGAAUGGAUAGUGGGCAGAUAACUGCAGACUCUGCCUUGUAAGAUUCAGCCUUCUGUACGGAGAGGAGGAAGGAAAGGAACUCACCAAGGAUUUUGAACAACACAAAAAUUUCCCAAGAAAUGCUGGAAAGGAAUCCUCACAUGGAAGCCUUAGUCAGGGAAUAAUUAAGAGUUUGGUUAUUAUAAUACCACAACAUUGGCUCCGUUCAAUAUCCUGUGCAUUAGAUCUCCGGGAUUAUUUACCGACUGGUUUCAAGCUUGUACCUUCAACCAUUUCUCCUAUUCCACGCACCGAGCCUCUGGUAACCACCACUUUGCUCUUUGUCUUCAUGAGUGUGGCUUUUAUAGAUUCCACACAAAAGUAAACUCAUCCAGUAUUUGUCCUUUUUUGGGUCUGCCUUGUCUCACAGAGCAUAAUGGCCUCAAGGUCCAUACACGUUGCUACAAAUGUCAUGAGUCUCUUCUGUAUCUCAUGCCUAAAUACUAUGCCCUUGUGUGUAUAUAUACCACAUCUUCUUUAUCCAUCUGACGAUGGGCGCUUAGGGUUGUUUCCAUAUCUUGGCUAUUGUGAAUAAGGCUGCCGUGAACAUGGGAGGGCAGACAUCUCUUCAAUACAGGGCGUAGGGUGUUUGUCCCAAGCACCCCUCUCUGCUGCUGGGGGGUGAAAGUAGUGCAGGUGGCACCUAAAUGAACGGCAGUCCCUAUGAGCCAGUAACAUUGUAUUUACAAAAGCUGGUGGUGACCAUAGUGUGCCGACCCUGACCUAUAUCACAGGACCGGUGUGACAAUGAAUUGAAAUAGGGUGUGGAAAGCACUUGCUACAGACCCCUUCAUAAUGAGAGCCUCUCCCCUGUGCAGCAGGGACAGCCGGAUAGGAGCAGCUGGGAGAGCCAUUCCCAGCUUCUCAGCUUCGAGAUCUGGCCCCUGACUUCUUAGCAAGAUACUGAGAGGGUCCUCCUCACCUACUUUUCCUUCCUGAGAGCCAAACUGCCGAAAGGAGGCAUCUUAACAUUCUUCUAAGCAGACAUCAUGGCCUACUUCUGCUCUGCAUUAGUCCCUCUCCGGGACCGUCGUUGAAGAUGAAUGCUUUCUAAGAUGCGCGUGUAGACAUGGGCUGCCACCACGAGAAGAGUCUUCGAGAAUGUCCCCCUCUCUUCAUUUCCAUAUUGCACGUUCUUAAAAGCACAUCCCUCCUCUUCGAUGUUGUUGGCUUGGUCAUCCAUGGAGAGCACUUGGGGAGGAAUUCUCUUGAGCCCGAGACCCCUGGGUGAGCUGCAAAGGUUGGAAGUAGCUCAGAACAAUGGUAUCUCCGGGACUGAAACAGAAUCGACGCCCGCACUUUCUUUUACCACGGAAUCUCCAAAAGAGGAUGUGACAAUGGAGAUUCUGAAUCUAGUCUGGGGUGAGACCUAGGAGUCUGUCAUUAAAUAAUAAUUUUAAUAAUGAUAAUAACAAUAAUUUAAAUAAAAGUUCCCCCAGGGUGAGUCUGCUGCUCAGCCAGGUAGCUGCUUAGCUCUUGGCCAUUCUCCUGGCUGUGGUUAAUUCCCCCUUGCUAUUCCAUAACCCCACUCUUCCAAAACCCCAAGCCCUAGAGCUGCCUGAUUGCCUCUUUUCUCUGUGCACUCGCUGUGUUCGCCAAAAGGCAGAGGGCUUCACAGACGCGUUCGUCCCUGCAGCGGAGGCUCCGCGCUCCAAGAAGGAAAUGAUUUCACACUGGAUCGGCCAGCCGGGAAGGCUGGAGUUGUGGGCUCAGCCAGAGGACUCCAGAGAGCUUCGGGCCAGGAGGGCUCCAGUGUUUCCAAGUCAACGCCGAAGGCUCAUAUACUGGUGGAUGGGCAAGUCAUUGAUUUUUCUUGAGAAUGAUAACUCGAGUGUAUUUGUUCAGUGUUUUUCAGAAACAAAGGCUUGUCUGAUUUUAUUUUCAUUUCAUUUCAUUUUGGUUUUUUGUUUGUUCUGAGAGGAAAAAGCUUGAGCAACUAAAGCAAAAUCUUGGUGUUUUAUUAUUCAGUGGCCCCAGGGGUCAAGUUUGGUUGCAUCCUUCUAUCAAAUACAUUGAUUUUUCAACAGAUAUUUCAUGAACAUCUACUGUAUAUCGUGCUGGGCACUGGAGGGCUCUGGGAGAAGCCUGAGACGGGGCAGUUUCUGAGUUGGCUGUCCUGCCCCUGGCAUCCACAGUCCACCAACCCCCUGCCACGCCCCGAGGGGCUUCUCUGUCCUAAUUGCAGUACCACAACAAGGAACCAAUCCCAGACAAAAGGAUUUUAAGGGAACUUGGACCAGCUGUUCAGUAAAUCAGGUGUGUUGCUGGCCUUGCUCGGCCGUUUCCUGUACCCCAUCCUUGCCUUAUUCCCAGUAAGCAAGUCUUCCUUCUUUUUAUUGACUGCCUGCUGUGGAAUAUGGUGCUUAGUGCUUUACACCUGCUAUCCGGUUUGCCCUUCCCGUAACCAUAGCAGGCAAAGAGCAUGAUGCUUACAUGACAGAUGAGGAAGCUGCGGCUGCAGAGAGAUUAUUGGCCUGGGCUUUGAUGCCAGGUUGUCAGACAUCAAACUAGCGCUCUUUACCCCUGUCCCAGACGAGCUCCUACCUUGUGCUGUAGCUUCUGUGAGUGCAUUUAGUUACGUUCCCCGGUAGAGCUCAUCUGCACUUUUCGGCCCUCAACCCUCGUCUCUCAAAACCAAGUGUCUCUUCACUAUCCUGCAUUUCAUGGGGAAAUGGGACAUUCAUAUCUAAAAGGAUCAGCUGUACUAGAAAAUCACUCCUGUUCCUCCAGGUUGUCUGUUGCUGGGGAAUCACUAAAUAUCUCUAAAUCAGUCGUUCUCAAAAUAUGGUCCCUCCACUAGCAGCAACAGCAUCACCUGGGAACCCAGAAAUGCAUAUUCUCAGGCCCCACUGGGACCUACUGAAUCAGAACCUCUUAGGACAGGCUCAGGUAUCAUGUUUUAACUUCUCCAGGGAGCUCUGAUGCGCACUGAUGUUUGAGAACCGCUGGCCUAGAUUUGAUGCCUCAGAGCCAGUAAUCGUAUCUACAGCAGAUGGGGGCCGUAUGAGGCAUGGCGGCAAAGCCAAAAAGGGAAAUCGGAGGGGCUGGCCCUUCAGUAUUCAAAAACUUGGAAACAUUGUAUAUUCUGUUGCUAUCUUGGAAAUUCAUAAAGAUACAGGCCACCAGCAUAUUCAAGACCAGGUCCUCCUGCAAUAAAAGCCGUGUUUAAAUUUACUUAAACAGCCUUUCCUAAAUUCAUUUACAUUUAAAUCAUGGCCCUUGUCUUUUGCAAAAGAUCUGUUGACAUCCCAAGGAACUAGGAAUGAACACACUUUGGGAAGGGUGGGUGUGAUCAUCAUGAUCAUGAUCCCAGAGUAUAUAUGACCCUCCCUUUGAGCAUGUUUAUCAGAAUUAAAUAUCCAAAAUCCCUAUCAGAAAUUCAGGAACAUCAAGAAGACUUGUUUUGAAAAUCAUUUUUGGAUCCAUAUAGACACCAUGUUGCAAGACUCCAGGAGACAGCUCUGUGAAUGGAGCCCCCUGGCAUUGUACAAUGCUGCAGCCUGGACCUAUAGCCAAAGACUGAAUUAACAAAAGGCUUAGAGAACUAAAAUGUUUCCAUCUACCAGAAAUAACUGAGAAUUGAGAUGUCUGGGGGGAGUCUAGGGAGAGGAUUUUCAAGAUAUUUAACUCUUUUAAACUGUAUGGAAAAUAUUUCAGGAUGAACUUUGUCAAGUGUAACUCUUGCAGUAAGUGAAAUGACAUUGAAUAUGGUCAUAUUUCUGCUCUUUUAAGCCUGGCUCACUGUACGCUUUCAAAGCAUUUGACAAGAAUAGUUUGUAUUUAGGUACCAUCUUUCAUUCCCAAGCUUCAAGAGUCUACUAGGGACAGAACAGGCCAGAAAAUUCCCAACAUGGAGGUCCCCUUCCCCUACUGGGAUGGUAACAUUCUAGCAAAAGCAGGAAGUUUGCGGACAAGGAAGUCACUCGCUGACUAUGGAAGACGGGAGAGGGUAUCAGAGCUCAUCAGCAUACAGAGGAACCAGCCCGGACAACAUGACUGUGGGCUUCCUAUUUCAGUGAAUUAACUUAAGAGAAAGAAGAGGAUAGUUAUUUCUUGUUCUCUUUGUGGUGCCCUAAGAACUUCACAUUGAAUCGGGAGAUGCUUGCCUCCCUCCCGGGCCCCAGUCAUGCCUGAGAAGUGCCCCAAAUUACUUCGCAUGAGAUGCUGGUUCCAGAUUCAGCAGGGAACCAGCAAUGCUAGGCAUACUUGAAAGUCCAGCAUAGGGAGGCGGUGAAAAGGGCUAGCUUUGAGUUUCCCCUCUGCUUGGCAGGUGAUUUCUUUCUCCCUUAUUUUCAAAUAAAGUUUAUGAUUUUCUCCCUUA